GCACCCGUAGCUCAAAUGGAUAGAGCAAGCGGUUCCUAACCGCUAGGUUGCCAGUUCAAGCCUGGCCGGGUGCACCA
rnacentral:tRNA from 1 species